ACAUUUAUUUUAAGUGCUAACUGCUCACACCUAGGCUGCCAUGCCUGCGAAUACGCUUCCUUCCUGCUUCCAGUGCUUUAUAAUAAACACACAUCGACCGACCUUGCCUUCGUGUCUGGGAGCGAUUGUGCCCCUCGUUUCUGGCCAUUCUUGCAUACGCUCCGACCAAUUGGCCAGUUGACAACAAAAUUUUUGGUGGACCGCCCGCCACAAGCGAUAAUUCUUCCACUGCUAUGACAACUAAAUUGGCAUGGCCGUAUUUGACCAGACGGGACUUGGGACCCGGUAUACCAGGCUCGAGGUUCGAGGUCCGAGAUCCGAGUUCCAGACCCUGCUGGGGCAAACCUAUUGCCGAAAAACCCUUUUGCCGGGGCUGGAUAAUUCGCAUGAUGAUGAAUUCCAGCGAAAAAAGGCUAAGUAAAAGGCAAGGAGCUGAAGGUGGAGCGGGUGGUGGUGGCUUUUGCAGUUUUGGGCUCGGUUUGGUUUCGUUUAUUCACUUGACUGUAAUUGCUGGCCUCAGUUUGGACCUGGCAUGGUCUGGGGUCUGUCAGUGUGAGAGUCUGGGUCGCGGGUCCCACACAAAAUAACAGAGCAGAGCACACUGAGGAAAAUAGGGAAU
ensembl:ncRNA lncRNA:CR45419 long non-coding RNA:CR45419